rnacentral:lncRNA from 1 species
CAAUUUACAAAUUAUAAUACGAUACAUCAUAAAUACACAAAUACAUAUAAUUACAUAUAGCUAGUGGACUGGGGAAGGUUGGGGGCGGGUGGGGGAGAGAUACCUGAAGGAGAUAGAGAAGGGCCUAGGACAGGGAGGGAAUUUAUUCUUGGGGAGAAUAGAGAGUAAAGAGAAAGAUGUGUUGAAGCAAGAGUGGAACUGUGAUGUGGUUGUAGUGGUUAAGUGGACUACUUUGAGUGUCGUCAUUUGUGAGGAUAUUCUCACGAGGAAACUUUCCUAUUGGUGUAGGAUACCG